rnacentral:lncRNA from 1 species
CUUCCAUUAUCUCAAAAUGUACGUUAGCAUAAUUGUUUUACUGAAUUUGAUUACUCUCCAUCUCUAUUCAUCAAAAAGAUUACAAAUGUCAUCUGUAACAUACAGGAGGUAUGAUUAAACUCCAACAAGUGCGUAACGGAAAGGAUUCUUUAUAAUUAAUAUCCAAGGAAAGGAAUAAAAUGUUGCCAAUAGUAUUUCACAAUUUGCAUUUGCACCCAAAAAAGGUGUUUAUCAGGUAUCAAGAAUUCGUAGUCUUCUUUGAAAUGGAGGAAUGCAAUGGUGGUGCUGGAUUACCUCCAAUCUGAGAAAGAAAAUCAAGAUCGAACAAGACCUUUGCAGCGAGCAUAAGAAAGAUAAGUACGAAAAGGAUGGCAGAAAAUGCCCUGGAGAAAAUCACAACCUGGAACCAUCCAUUUUGAGAUUCAGAAACCAGAAUAAAGGAUGAGAAAUUUACCUUCAAUAUAGCAUUAUUGAAGUUCAAUGCUUACCCAUUUAAACAUGUAUCCAUGAUCAUCAUUCCAGUAUAUGGAAUGUUCAUGCCAAAUAUGCCGGCUACCAAAGAAUAAAUAGAUAAACAUACAGUUCCAGUAACUGGGAAAGAGAUCCAAAUGUAGCGACUCGAUAAGGAGAAGGAAUUUAUAAGUUCAAUGAAACAAGCGGUACGACUAAAUAGAUAAAACCUCAUAGUUGUCAAAAUAUUUGUGAAUAUGUAGAUAAGCUGAAAAGAAAUUCAGGAAAAAUACCAUGUAAUUUAACCAUGCGUGUAACAAACCUGAAUCAAUUGAUUUUGAUGAUUAUCCAGCUGAAAUGAAAAUGAUAAAAAAUUGUUC